CGGUGGGUCUAAGCGGGGGGCUAGGGGUCCCCUGAAGGGCGCAAGCUCUGACCGUAAACCCUCUAUAGGACGGGCUGAAGGCUGUGGUGAGGCGUCAAAGAGCAUCUAGGCUCGCAGCCUCUCGCUGUGAGUGUCCGUCCCUUGGGGCUAGCGGUUGCGAAGCGGCUUCCGUAGGGAAGUCGUUAUCUGCGUUUGCCAGGCGAAUCUGGCCAGGCCCGGGAGGGAGCAACCUAAGCUUGGACGUUCAGCGCUUGAGGGG
rnacentral:SRP_RNA from 1 species